GAUGAACGCUAGCGAUAGGCUUAACACAUGCAAGUCGAGGGGCAGCAUGGUCUUAGCUUGCUAAGACUGAUGGCGACCGGCGCACGGGUGCGUAACGCGUAUGCAACUUGCCUCACAGAGGGGGAUAACCCGUCGAAAGACGGACUAAUACCGCGUACACUUGGGAUAGGGCAUCCUGACCCAAGGAAAUGAAAUUCGCUGUGAGAUAGGCAUGCGUCCCAUUAGCUAGUUGGUGAGGUAACGGCUCACCAAGGCGACGAUGGGUAGGGGAACUGAGAGGUUGAACCCCCACACUGGUACUGAGACACGGACCAGACACCUACGGGAGGCAGCAGUGAGGAAUAGUGGUCAAUGGGCGAGAGCCUGAACCAGCCAAGUCGCGUGAAGGAUGACUGUCUUAUGGAUUGUAAACUUCUUUUAUACGGGAAUAACAAGAGCCACGUGUGGCUCCCUGCAUGUACCGUAUGAAUAAGCAUCGGCUAACUCCGUG
rnacentral:rRNA from 1 species